GUCUAUGGCCACGCUGCCCUGAGUAAGCCCAAUCCCAUCUGCUCUCUGAAGCUAAGUAGGGUCAGGCCUGGUUAGUACUUGGAUGAGAGACCACCUAGGAAGACCAGGUGCUGCAGGCG
rnacentral:rRNA from 1 species